GGAAGUGGGAAGUGGCCGCUCCUCAGCUCCUGGGCAACUUCGGCGGUUCGGUUCGCGCGGCUCUGACUACUCGGAUCCUCAGGGCAGAACGCGAGGCGGCCAAUUCGCUGCUCCGUGGGCUUGACUGCGCUCUGAGGAGGCUGGUGCCUUGGGCGGUGGCUUCAGCAACACAUCAGCCCUGAGCUUCACCGUCUCAUCUUCUCCCUACACCUCCUCCACCAUCUCCAGAAGGUUUCCUGCUUCACACCCUCUUCCUCUAAGGGAAACCCUAUGAUUGGACAAGGACUAAUAAAGUCAUUUUACCUGA